rnacentral:rRNA from 1 species
GACGAGGGACCCUAGCGUUGUUCGGAAUCAUUGGGCGUAAAGCGGAGGUAGGUGGCUUGGUAAGUCGAGUGUGAAAGCCCAGGGCUCAACCCUGGAAGUGCAUUCGAAACUGCUGAGCUUGAGUGCUAGAGAGGUUACUAGAAUGCCUGGUGUAGUGGUGAAAUACGUAGAUAUCGUGAGGAAGACCAGUUGCGAAGGCGACUCUCUGGGCAAUUCCUGACACUGAGGCACGAAGGCUAGGGGAGCAAACGGG